GGAAAAGUGAAUAUUAUUGGUUUAAUAGUUAAAUUUUUAAGGAUUUAUAUAAUAAUAAUUUUUAGGUGAAAUUUAUAAUUAUUUAUUAAAAAUUUGUAUUGAAACUAUGAAAUUUAUAUUAAAAACAAGGAUUAGAUACCCUUUUAUUAUAAAUGUAAAUAUAAACCUGGGUAGUAAUAGUUAUGAUCUUGAAACCCAAAGGAUUUGGCGGUAUUUUAAUCUAAUCAGAGGAACCUGUCCCAUUAUCGAUAAUCCACGAUGGAAUUUACUUGAUUUAGUAAAACAGUUUGUAUACCUCCGUCAUCAGAGUAUCUUUUUAAGUUAAUAUUCUACUUAUUAAAAAUAUAAAAUGUCAGGUCAAGGUGCAAUUCAUAAUCAAGAGGAGAUGGGUUACAAUAAAUUUAUUUAUAUGGAUAAAUUAUUUAAAAAUUUAUGAAAGUGGAUUUGACAGUAAUUUUAUUUACUAAAUACUAUGAUUUUGGCUCUAAAUAUGCACACAUCGCCCGUCGCUCU
rnacentral:rRNA from 1 species